GGAAAUUUGAAUGUUGGAAUCAUUCAGCAGGUCAGGCAGUACUUGUGGAAGGAGAAACGGUCAAUGUAAAAGGGAGAAAAACAAGUUAAUUUUCAUUUGGAGAGAAGGUACUGGUUGAAACUCUUUACACUCCAAACCAGACUCAAGGCCUCUCUGUCAAUCUACAGCAGCAAACAAACGUGACACAAAGCCUGUGGGGCAUUCACUUCCAUCACUCAUAACAUGUGACAUGACUGUACCAAUACCAUAAGGUGAGACAUCACAGGGAAGCUUCGCUGGAUGAUGUGGAUCAUAAUGUGGUUCCUGGACGGAUGUGCAUGAUUGAGCAAAAUAUUGAUUAUACCUUCUGGGCAUUCUGGCAAAAUCAAGUUGCACCAUUCUAUAUAAUGACAAUAUUCUUAUUUAUGUCAUUCAUACAGCUUUUAAGAAUUGACAAGUGGAAAUGAGAUGUUAAUUUUGUUUACUGAUAUAUGGUGUAUUUUAACUCUCUUCACUCACAGAAACUCUAUUGCCAAGUGAAAAUAAAUUUAUGGUUCAAUGAUCACAUAAUCGUUGCCAAUUGCAUCAACCCCAUCUGCCAAAAUGUGAUUUUCCCCCUAUUGUUGAUGGAUAGCGUAGCAUGGAGACACUAUUGAAAAUUACACUUUAGUAUCCAGUAUCCAGAGUUACAACCUGAAUAAGGUAGACUCUAAAUCUGACCAAAGAAUAACAUGCAAAUGUAAAUACACCCUACAACCACCCCCACUCCCUUCACUAUUUCUUCACUCAACAGACAUUAAAACAGGCUACCACACAUAACCUAAAUGUUUCACAGGUCAUUAACCUAAAAUCAGUGUGUGCAAUUUUUUUCCCCAACUAACCUCCAACGUUACAGCGACUACAUCAAAUCUUCUGAGACCAAUAAUUUUAUAAGCAACUGUGUAGGACUUGUGCAAAUAUCAAAAUGUUGAUUUCAUUCACCAUGGUGCCAUUCAGUAUUAUAGACAGCAAAACUACCAAUAUCACAAGCAUUAUAAUUUGGCUUGGAAAUGCAGUGUGUAAUGGAACCAGAAACUGCUGGAAGUACCCAGUAGCUCAGGCAGCAUCUGUGGAGAGAGAAGCAGAACAUUGACUUUUCAUCAGACAGGCAAUGCCAGAUGUCAUGGUUCUGAUGAAAAGUUAUUGACCUGGGAUAUUAAGAGAAAUAUGACACUGCAAAGGUUGGAAUCUGGAGCAAAUAUCUGCUGGAAGAAAGCUGAUUGUGCAACAUUUAUGGGGCAGCAUGUUGUUGUUAAUGUUUCAGUUCGAAAUUCUGCAUCAGAAUUUGGGAUAUUAACUGUGUUCCUCUCAGUAUUGAUGGCUACUUGACAUACUGAGUACUUCAGUAUUGUAUUUUUAUCUCAGAAUUCCAAGGGUUUUGUUUUGUAAAAUUGUACUCAUUGCUUUAGCAUUUAUUGUUUAAUAUCUGCUCUCAAGGUAGCAAUGAGCAGCCAUGAACUUUUAAUGACAAAUCUAGUUAAUAAUUGUAAACAUGUACAUUGCCAAGUAACAUCAGGUAAUUGAAUGUUGCUGCAAUCAUUGAUGAAACAAAUUAGGACUUUGGAUUUUAGCUAACGGAAGAUAAAUUCUGAUAUAACAAUGCAUGCAUGCAAGAGUGAAAACACACAUUUUUCAAUUUAGUAAUCUUCUACGGCUGCACCUUU